rnacentral:rRNA from 1 species
GAAUUCAGACAAACUCCGAAUGCCAAUUAAUUUAACUUGGGAGUCAGAACAUGGGUGAUAAGGUCCGUGUUCGAAAGGGAAACAGCCCAGACCACCAGCUAAGGUCCCAAAAUAUAUGUUAAGUGGAAAAGGAUGUGGCGUUGCCCAGACAACUAGGAUGUUGGCUUAGAAGCAGCCAUCAUUUAAAGAGUGCGUAAUAGCUCACUAGUCGAGUGACACUGCGCCGAAAAUGUACCGGGGCUAAACAUAUUACCGAAGCUGUGGAUUGUCCUUUGGACAAUGGUAGGAGAGCGUUCUAAGGGCGUUGAAGCAUGAUCGUAAGGACAUGUGGAGCGCUUAGAAGUGAGAAUGCCGGUGUGAGUAGCGAAAGACGGGUGAGAAUCCCGUCCACCGAUUGACUAAGGUUUCCAGAGGAAGGCUCGUCCGCUCUGGGUUAGUCGGGUCCUAAGCUGAGGCCGACAGGCGUAGGCGAUGGAUAACAGGUUGAUAUUCCUGUACCAC